rnacentral:lncRNA from 10 species
UAGCUGGGACUACAGGCGCCCGCCACCACGCCCGGCUAAUUUUUUUUUGUAUUUUUAGUAGAAACAGGGUUUCACCAUGUUAGCCAGGAUGGUCUCGAUCUCCUGACCUCGUGAUCCACCCGCCUUGGCCUCCCAAAAUGUUGGGAUUACAGGUGUGAGCCACCGCGCCUGGCCCUUUUUUUUUUUUUUUUUUUUGAGACAGCCUUGCUCUGUUGUCCAGGCUGCAGUGCAAUGGCAGGAUCUCAGCUCACUGCA